GGGAGAUACCUUUGUCCUUAGUAUUAAAGCGGUGGACAAAGCAAGCAAAAUCUGAAUUUCACUCCACAGUUUCCAAGGAAAAUAUGCCUAGUGAAGCUGUACGAUUGGCCAGGCAUGGAGAUUUAAGUUAUUUAAGUAGCAGGAUAUCAUAUCUUGCUUCACAGACAAAGGAGGGUACCGACAUUUGAAGAAAGAACUCAGUAGAUUGGAGUCGAUACUUGGAGAUGUUUUGAAGCAACAAAAAGAUGUAGGUGAUAGUCCAGAUCCAUGUAAUAACAUUGUAAGAGAUCCUAUCAGGGUAAGGAGCAAGGGCAGGCAAGGAAGCAAUGAACCAAAAACAAAGCCAAAAUGUCGUUUAUGCAGAAGCUAUGGACACAAUAAAACUACAUGCCCACAGAAGAAUAGGGUACGUGGCAAAGUUAGAGUUGUGGCAAAAAAUAAACCCAAACUUCGACGACUCAGUGAUAUUGAAGAUUGAGGCACGUUGUAAAUUCUAUCAUAGGAGCAAUUGUCAUUGUUGUUAUUAUUUUUCUUUUUUCCCCUCACUUGACCUAUAUUUUGUUGGUUUGAAUGAGGAUGAAUCUAUUUAUGGUUUUCCAUAUA